GUGGGGAAUAUUGGACAAUGGGGGGAACCCUGAUCCAGCCAUGCCGCGUGUGUGAAGAAGGCCUUUUGGUUGUAAAGCACUUUAAGCGAGGAGGAGGCUACCGAGAUUAAUACUCUUGGAUAGUGGACGUUACUCGCAGAAUAAGCACCGGCUAACUCUGUGCCAGCAGCCGCGGUAAUACAGAGGGUGCAAGCGUUAAUCGGAUUUACUGGGCGUAAAGCGCGCGUAGGUGGCCAAUUAAGUCAAAUGUGAAAUCCCCGAGCUUAACUUGGGAAUUGCAUUCGAUACUGGUUGGCUAGAGUAUGAGAGAGGAUGGUAGAAUUCCAGGUGUAGCGGUGAAAUGCGUAGAGAUCUGGAGGAAUACCGAUGGCGAAGGCAGCCAUCUGGCCUAAUACUGACACUGAGGUGCGAAAGCAUGGGGAGCAAACAGGAUUAGAUACCCUAGUAGUCC
rnacentral:rRNA from 1 species